UCGAACGCCGAAGGCCCCUUCGGGGGCCGAGUAGAGUGGCGCACGGGUGAGUAACACGUAGGUAAUCUACCUCUGGGUGGGGAAUAACGACCGGAAACGGUCGCUAAUACCGCAUAAUGCAGCGGCACCACAUGGUGACAGUUGUUAAAGCGGGGGAUCGUAAGACCUCGCGCCUAGAGAUGAGCCUGCGGCGGAUUAGCUAGUUGGCAGGGUAACGGCCUACCAAGGCGACGAUCCGUAGCCGGCCUGAGAGGGCGGACGGCCACACUGGCACUGACAUACGGGCCAGACUCCUACGGGAGGCAGCAGUCGGGAAUUUUGGGCAAUGGGCGAAAGCCUGACCCAGCAACGCCGCGUGAAGGAUGAAGCUUCUCGGAGUGUAAACUUCAUAAGAAUGGGACGAAUAAGGAGGGGUUAACACCCCCUUUGAUGACGGUACCAUUUGUAAGCUCCGGCUAACUCCGUGCCAGCAGCCGCGGUAAUACGGGGGGAGCAAGCGUUGUUCGGAUUUACUGGGCGUAAAGGGCGCGUAGGCGGCGUGACAAGUCACUUGUGAAAUCUCCGGGCUUAACCCGGAGCGGCCAAGUGAUACUGUCGUGCUAGAGUGCGGAAGGGGCUACUGGAAUUCUCGGUGUAGCGGUGAAAUGCGUAGAUAUCGAGAGGAACACCUGCGGCGAAGGCGGGUAGCUGGGCCGACACUGACGCUGAGGCGCGAAAGCCA
rnacentral:rRNA from 1 species